rnacentral:piRNA from 1 species
UCCAUUAUCUGUUUUAAGAAUUUUGGGUUG